CCCUUAGAUGUUCUGGACCGCACGCGCGCUACACUGAUGCAUUCAACGAGUCUAAAACCUGCUCUGAUAGGGGUGGGUAAUCUUUUGAAUGUGCAUCGUGAUUGGGAUAGAUGAUUGCAAUUUUUCAUCUUCAACGAGGAAUGCCUAGUAAACGCAAGUCAUCAGCUUGCAUUGAUUACGUCCCUGCCCUUUGUACACACCGCCCGUCGCUCCUACCGAUUGAAUGAUCCGAUGAAUAUCAUGGAUUGAGGAUGCAAGUAGGUUCGCCUAUCUUCAUCUUCGAGAAGUGAAGUAAAUCUUAUCAUUUAGAGGAAGGAGAAGUCGUAACA
rnacentral:rRNA from 1 species